GAUGAACGCUGGCGGCGUGCUUAACACAUGCAAGUCGAGCGAAAAGACGAGGUUCUUGCUCCUCUCGCGUUACCAGCGGGUGGGUAAGUCACACGUAGAUAACCUAUCUAUAAGGCUGGGAUAACUUAGGCAAGCCGGAGCUAAUACCGGAUAAUAUAUUGAACCGGAGGGUUCAAUAGUGAUAGACGGGUUUGGGGUGACUUAUAGAUGGAUCCGCGUCGCAUUAGGUAGUUGGUAAGGUAACGGCUUACCAAGGCAACGAUGCGUAGCCGACCUGAGAGGGUGAUCGGCCACACUGGAACUGAGACACGGCCCAGACUCCUACGGGAGGCAGCAGUAGGGAAUCUUCGCCAAUGGGCGAAAGCCUGACGGAGCAACGCCGCGUGAGUGAUGAAGGUCUUCGGGUCGUAAAACUCUGUUAGUGGGGAAGAACACAUGUGUAAGUAACUAUGCACUUCUUGACGGUACCUGAUCAAAAAGCCCCGGCUAACUACGUG
rnacentral:rRNA from 1 species